rnacentral:rRNA from 1 species
UCCGUAGGUGAACCUGCGGAAGGAUCAUUACUAAGUUUGAGGUGGUGCCGUUAGGCAACACUGUUGUUCGGUGCAGCAAUGCACCGUGACAUUUGCGCUUGAAUUGUUUGUCAGAGUAAACUUGCUAUAAUUUUUUAUAACUUUUAACAAUGGAUCUCUUGGCUCUUGCAACGAUGAAGAACGCAGUAAAGUGCGAUAUUUAAUGCGAUUUGCAUGAAUCUGUGAGUCAUCUAAUCUUUGAACGCAACUUGCACCAUUAUGUGGUAUGUCUGUUUGAGAGUUGUAAAUCAGUGUUAAAUUAACGAUUUGGCCAUUGACAGUAAUGUCUGGGCUUGAAAAUAGCAAGAAAAGGAAUAGGUAGUUUCCCAUGUGAGUUAGAGACCAAGUGUCUUGUCAUAUAGGAUCCAACCAAUCCCUGCACAUAUAUCUCAUCCAACCUCAAAUCAAACAAGAUUACCCGCUGAACUUAA